AUGAACGCUAGCGACAGGCUUAACACAUGCAAGUCGAGGGGCAGCGGGGUGCAGCAAUGCACCGCCGGCGACCGGCGCACGGGUGCGUAACGCGUAUGCAACCUGCCCUCCAGCCCGGGAUAACCCGGCGAAAGUCGGACUAAUACCGGAUGAAACAGGGGCCCCGCAUGGGGAUGUUUGUUAAAGGUUCACCACUGGAGGAUGGGCAUGCGUUCCAUUAGGCAGUUGGCGGGGUAACGGCCCACCAAGCCUUCGAUGGAUAGGGGUUCUGAGAGGAAGGUCCCCCACACUGGUACUGAGACACGGACCAGACUCCUACGGGAGGCAGCAGUGAGGAAUAUUGGUCAAUGGGCGAGAGCCUGAACCAGCCAAGUCGCGUGCAGGACGACGGCCCUACGGGUUGUAAACUGCUUUUGCGGGGGAAUAAAGUGGAGGACGCGUCCUCUUUUGCAUGUACCCCGCGAAUAAGCAUCGGCUAACUCCGUGCCAGCCGCCGCGGUAAUAC
rnacentral:rRNA from 1 species